rnacentral:rRNA from 1 species
UACAGAGGAUGCAAGCGUUAUCCGGAAUGAUUGGGCGUAAAGCGUCUGUAGGUGGCUUUUUAAGUCCGCCGUCAAAUCCCAGGGCUCAACCCUGGACAGGCAGUGGAAACUACCAAGCUGGAGUGCGGUAGGGGAAGAGGGAGUUCCAGGUGGAGCGGUGAAAUGCGUAGAGAGCGGAAAGAACACCAUCGGCGAAAGCAGU